GACGAACGCUGGCGGCGUGCCUAAUACAUGCAAGUCGAACGCUUCUUUCCUCCCGAGUGCUUGCACUCAAUUGGAAAGAGGAGUGGCGGACGGGUGAGUAACACGUGGGUAACCUACCCAUCAGGGGGGGAUAACACUUGGAAACAGGUGCUAAUACCGCAUAACAGUUUAUGCCGCAUGGCAUAAGAGUGAAAGGCGCUUUCGGGUGUCGCUGAUGGAUGGACCCGCGGUGCAUUAGCUAGUUGGUGAGGUAACGGCUCACCAAGGCCACGAUGCAUAGCCGACCUGAGAGGGUGAUCGGCCACACUGGGACUGAGACACGGCCCAGACUCCUACGGGAGGCAGCAGUAGGGAAUCUUCGGCAAUGGACGAAAGUCUGACCGAGCAACGCCGCGUGAGUGAAGAAGGUUUUCGGAUCGUAAAACUCUGUUGUUAGAGAAGAACAAGGACGUUAGUAACUGAACGUCCCCUGACGGUAUCUAACCAGAAAGCCACGGCUAACUACGUG
rnacentral:rRNA from 1 species